AGUGAACGCUGGCGGCAGGCCUGAUACAUGCAAGUCGAACGGCAGCACGGCAGAGCUUGCUCUGUGGGUGGCGAGUGGCGGACGGGUGAGGAAUACAUGGGAAUCUGCCCAGUCGUGGGGGAUAACGUAGGGAAACUUACGCUAAUACCGCAUGCGCCCUUCGGGGGAAAGCCGGGGACCUUCGGGCCUGGCGCGAUUGGAUGAGCCCAUGUCGGAUUAGCUAGUUGGCGGGGUAAUGGCCCACCAAGGCGACGAUCCGUAGCUGGUCUGAGAGGAUGAUCAGCCACACUGGAACUGAGACACGGUCCAGACUCCUACGGGAGGCAGCAGUAGGGAAUAUUGGACAAUGGGCGCAAGCCUGAUCCAGCCAUGCCGCGUGAGUGAAGAAGGCCCUCGGGUCGUAAAGCUCUUUUGUCCGGAAAGAAAGCGCCGGGUUAAUACCCUAGUGUCCUGACGGUACCGGAAGAAUAAGCACCGGCUAACUUCGUGCCAGCAGCCG
rnacentral:rRNA from 1 species